GAUGAACCUAGUGUGUCAGGAUUGUUCCACAGAGCAUUAUGGGGUAGAGAUUGAAAAGUGAUAGUUUUUUGAGGAUAUUAUUCAAUUAAAAUUAGUUUAUUCAAAUUACAGGAGGUAGAUAAAAAAUAGUUUUCUUAGUUUUAGAACUUUAUUUUUGUGUCGAGUUAGUGCAAUUCAUUUAAAUUUGCCUUGCUAACUUCAGUAGCAGUAGCUAGCUACCAACUCAAGUGUGAAGUUUUCGCCGCCAUCGCUACCGAAAAUAUUGGCUUUUUGUUGAAGAACCCCUUUCAUUUGCGGAAAAGGUGUGAAUUAAAACCAUGGGUCAAACUGAGAUCAGUUUCAUGAAGAAGGAUGAAAAGGCGAGGGCUUUCAAUUCCACCUGGUAUCAAACGGAUAGCUGGUUGACAGGGAGUCUUUCAUCAAGCCGUCUGUAUUUCUGGCCUUGCCUACUUUUUGGAAAAGUCUCAGCCUUGGGCGAAAGAUGUGUACAGUUACCUGAAGAACAUCAAUCGUUCAGCUAAACGGCUAAACAAAAGCAGGGAGCAUAUACAUGCCCACAUCAGAGUCAAGCUUCUAGGAAAAAGCUGCAUCGAUCAUGACGAAGGUCAACAAAACAAGAAAGUAAAAAGCAACAGGGAUGUUCUCAAGCGGCUUAUCAACACCACUGCGUUUAUAGGCAUUCAAGAAUGGGCUUUUUGAGGACAUGACGAGAGGGAAAGUUCCGCUAACAAGGGCAACUACAAGGAGCUUGCUGCGGUAAUUGCGCGUUACGAUGCUUUACUUGCUGAACAUAUGGAACUUUCGACUGUCUUUUCUGAGAUGUCUAAAUCAAUUCAGAAUGAUCAGCUCCCAUCGCUUCAUCCUUUAAAUGUUAGAUUAAAGAGAGGCUGACGCAGCGCAUUUUGCGUUACGCUAAGUUCCCUCCUGUUCCCUGAUUAAGAGGUGAUGACCAUUCCACUACCAUCGUCAACUCUCUCCUGACAUGAACUGAAGCCACGUCUCAUGUAGAGGUUCGACCGAUUAUGAUUUUUCAACGCCGAUACCGAUUAUUGGAGGACCAGAAAAGGCCGCCGUUACAGAAUUACCCACCAACAACGGACCAAGCAGCAGAGGAAGGAGCAGCACAAGGAGAGGCACCAGGAGAAAGGCUAUCUGGAGUCAUGGACUUGGGAGGAAAUCCUGGACGGGAAAGGACCAUGGACUCAAGCUGGGGAUUAUCGCCGCCCACAGUGGGAGAUCGAGGCGGCGAGAGCUGAGAGGCGCUGGUAUGAGGAGAGGGAGCGCAACGGACACGGGAGGCAGCCCCACAAUUUUUUUGGGGGGGGCACACGGGGAGAUUGGCGGAGUCAGGUGGUAGACCUAAGCCAACUCCCCGUGCUUACCGGAAGCAGCGUGGUACUGGUAAGACACCGUGUUAUGCUGUGGAGUGCACGGUGUCCCCAGUGCGCGUUCAAAGCCCGGUGCGCUACAUACCAGCCCCCCGCAAGUGCCAUGCGAGUGCAGGCAUCGAGCCAGGACGGAUGGUGCCAGCUCAGCGCGUCUGGUCUCCAGUGCGCCUCCUCGGUCCAGGUUAUCCUGCGCCGGCGUUGUGCACUGUGUCUCCAGAGCGCUGGGAGAGUCCAGUUCGCCCAAUGCCUGCUCUCCGCCCGUGCCGGGCCAAAGUGGGCAUUCAGCCUGGAGUGUGGGUAAAGAGUGUCCGUACCAGAACUCCAGUGCUCCCCCACAGCCCGGUUUAUCCUGUGCCUCCUCCUCGGACCAGGCCUCCAGUGGGUCUCCCCAUCCUGGUCCAUCCUGUGUCACCUCCCAGGACUAGGCCUCCAGUGGGUCUCCCCAUCCUGGUCCGUCCUGUGCCACCUCCCAGGACUAGGCCUCCAGUGGGUCUCACCUGUCCAGAGCAGUCAGAGCUGCCCGCCAGUCAACAGUCGUCAGAGCUGCCCGCCAGUCAACAGUCGUCAGAGCUGCCCGCCAGUCAACAGUCGUCAGAGCUGCCCGCCAGUCAACAGUCGUCAGAGCUGCCCACCAGUCAACAGUCGUCAGAGCUGCCCGCCAGUCAACAGUCGUCAGAGCUGCCCGCCAGUCAACAGUCGCCAGAGCAGACUGCGCUGAACUGCCGGAGUGGCCAGACUGCCCUGAACUGCCGGAGUGGCCAGACUGCCCUAAACUGCCGGAGUGGCCAGACUGCCCUGAACUGCCGGAGUGGCCAGACUGCCCAGAACUGCC
rnacentral:lncRNA from 1 species